GAUGAAGAACGUAGCUAAAUGCGAUACGUAAUGUGAAUUGCAGAUUUCAGUGAAUCAUCGAAUCUUUGAACGCACAUUGCGCCCGCUAGUAUUCUGGCGGGCAUGCCUGUUCGAGCGUCAUUUCAACCAUCAAGCCCUAGGCUUGCGUUGGAGCCCUGCGGCUGCCGCAGGCUCCCAAAUCCAGUGGCGGGCUCGUCGUCGUACCGAGUGCAGUAAACAUCCUCGCUCAGGGAACGUGACGGGUUCUUGCCGUGAAACCCCCCACAUAUCAAGGUUGACCUCGGAUCAGGUAGGAAUACCCGCUGAACUUAAGCAUAUCAAUAAGCGGAGGA
rnacentral:misc_RNA from 1 species